rnacentral:rRNA from 1 species
AUCUUCUUUAACUCUGAAUGCACCUGACCUCAUCUUAUUUUGGAAGCUAAGCAGGGUCAGUCUUGGUUAGCACUUGGAUGGGAGACCUUAGGGAACACCAUGAAUCUACAGGUA